GAUGAACGCUGGCGGCGUGCCUAAUACAUGCAAGUCGAGCGAACGGACGAGAAGCUUGCUUCUCUGAUGUUAGCGGCGGACGGGUGAGUAACACGUGGAUAACCUACCUAUAAGACUGGGAUAACUUCGGGAAACCGGAGCUAAUACCGGAUAAUAUUUUGAACCGCAUGGUUCAAAAGUGAAAGACGGUCUUGCUGUCACUUAUAGAUGGAUCCGCGCUGCAUUAGCUAGUUGGUAAGGUAACGGCUUACCAAGGCAACGAUGCAUAGCCGACCUGAGAGGGGGAUCGGCCACACUGGAACUGAGACACGGUCCAGACUCCUAAGGGAGGCAGCAGUAGGGAAUCGUCCGCAAUGGGCGAAAGCCUGACGGAGCAACGCCGCGUGAGUGAUGAAGGUCUUCGGAUCGUAAAACUCUGUUAUUAGGGAAGAACAUAUGUGUAAGUAACUGUGCACAUCUUGACGGUACCUAAUCAGAAAGCCACGGCUAACUACGUG
rnacentral:rRNA from 1 species